rnacentral:rRNA from 1 species
CUAGUUGUAUUAUUAGUUAAUGCAAGAUCGACUACGUCGACUAAAGUUCUAGGUAGAAUAAUGAUGAUGACAAUUUUUUACCUAUAUGUCUUGACCAAGUCUCGUGCCAGCAGUCGCGGUAAUACGUGGAAGACUAGUGUUAUUCAUCUUUAUUAGGUUUAAAGGGUACCUAGACGGUAUUUCUAGCCCAAAAUAGGGUACGGAUUUACUAGAGUUUUAUGUGAGGAGGGGAGUACUCGUGGAGUAGAGAUGAAAUUUUGUUAUACUAUGAGGUAACUGGUGGCGGCGAAAGCAACCUUCUAUGUAUAAACUGACGUUGAGGGACGAAGGCUUGGGUAGCAAAUAGGAUUAGAUACCCUAGUAGUCCAAGCACACAAUUCUGAAUGCCAUAGAUUAGAUUAUUUUUGGUCUAUAAAUGAAAGUGUAAGCAUUCCACCUUAGGAGUAAUGUGGCAACACAGGAACUGAAAUCAUUAGACCGUUUCUGAAACCAGUAGUGAAGUAUGUUAUUUAAAUAGAUGGUCCACAAAAAACCUUACCACAACUUGAAUAAUUUAUAGCUCAUACAAGCGUUGCACGGCUGUCUUCAGUUAAUGUCGUGAGAUUAGGUUAACUCCAUUAAUUAACGUAAACCCUUACUUUA